GAUGAACGCUAGCUACAGGCUUAACACAUGCAAGUCGAGGGGCAGCAUGAACUUAGCUUGCUAAGUUUGAUGGCGACCGGCGCACGGGUGAGUAACACGUAUCCAACCUGCCGAUGACUCGGGGAUAGCCUUUCGAAAGAAAGAUUAAUACCCGAUGGCAUAGUUCUUCCGCAUGGUAGAACUAUUAAAGAAUUUCGGUCAUCGAUGGGGAUGCGUUCCAUUAGGUUGUUGGCGGGGUAAACGGCCCCACCAAAGCCUUCGAUGGAUAGGGGGUUCUGAGAGGGAAGGUCCCCCCACAUUGGAACUGAGCACGGUCCAAACUCCUACGGGAGCAGCAGUGAGGAUAUUGGC
rnacentral:rRNA from 1 species